ACUUGGGAACACAAUCGGGACUGGUCCAGUGGCUUCGUUAGAAGGCAGCUCGGUGUGUAUGAGCUUCUCCUCGGAGCGAGUAUUUAACACUCACACGACAAGGCUGGGGAGGACCCAGCGCAGACGGGGCAGCGGGACUGAUGUUACAGGACUCUGUUAAGGCAGAUGCGUGGAC